rnacentral:rRNA from 1 species
GUCGAGCGAACGGACGAGAAGCUUGCUUCUCUGAUGUUAGCGGCGGACGGGUGAGUAACACGUGGAUAACCUACCUAUAAGACUGGGAUAACUUCGGGAAACCGGAGCUAAUACCGGAUAAUAUUUUGAACCGCAGGGUUCAAAAGUGAAAGACGGUCUUGCUGUCACUUAUAGAUGGAUCCGCGCUGCAUUAGCUAGUUGGUAAGGUAACGGCUUACCAAGGCAACGAUGCAUAGCCGACCUGAGAGGGUGAUCGGCCACACUGGAACUGAGACACGGUCCAGACUCCUACGGGAGGCAGCAGUAGGGAAUCUUCCGCAAUGGGCGAAAGCCUGACGGAGCAACGCCGCGUGAGUGAUGAAGGUCUUCGGAUCGUAAAACUCUGUUAUUAGGGAAGAACAUAUGUGUAAGUAACUGUGCACAUCUUGACGGUACCUAAUCAGAAAGCCACGGCUAACUACGUGCCAGCAGCCGCGGUAAUACGUAGGUGGCAAGCGUUAUCCGGAAUUAUUGGGCGUAAAGCGCGCGUAGGCGGUUUUUUAAGUCUGAUGUGAAAGCCCACGGCUCAACCGUGGAGGGUCAUUGGAAACUGGAAAACUUGAGUGCAGAAGAGGAAAGUGGAAUUCCAUGUGUAGCGGUGAAAUGCGCAGAGAUAUGGAGGAACACCAGUGGCGAAGGCGACUUUCUGGUCUGUAACUGACGCUGAUGUGCGAAAGCGUGGGGAUCAAACAGGAUUAUAUACCCUGGUAUUCCACGCCGUAAACGAUGAGUGCUCAGUGUGAGGGGGGUUUCCGCCCCUUAUUGCUGCAGCUAACGCAUUAGCAUCUCCACGGGCGACUACGACGCACGGUGGAGACUCAAAUGAAAUAAUGGA